GAUGAACGCUGGCGGCGUGCCUAAUACAUGCAAGUCGAGCGAACGGACGAGAAGCUUGCUUCUCUGAUGUUAGCGGCGGACGGGUGAGUAACACGUGGAUAACCUACCUAUAAGACUGGGAUAACUUCGGGAAACCGGAGCUAAUACCGGAUAAUAUUUUGAACCGCAUGGUUCAAAAGUGAAAGACGGUCUUGCUGUCACUUAUAGAUGGAUCCGCGCUGCAUUAGCUAGUUGGUAAGGUAACGGCUUACCAAGGCAACGAUGCAUAGCCGACCUGAGAGGGUGAUCGGCAACACUGGAACUGGACCACGGUCCAGACUCCUACGGGAGGCAGCAGGAGGGAAUCUUCAGCAAUGGGCGAAAGCCUGACGGAGCAACGCCGCGGGGGUGAUGAAGGUCUUCGGUUCGUAAAACUUUGUUAUUAGGGAAGAACAUAUGUGUAAGUAACUGUGCACAUCUUGACGGUACCAAAGCAGAAAGCCACGGCUAACUACGU
rnacentral:rRNA from 1 species